rnacentral:rRNA from 1 species
GAUGAACGCUGGCGGUAUGCUUUUACACAUGCAAGUCGAACGGAACUUAAGAGCUUGCUCUUAAGUUUAGUGGCGAACGGGUGAGUAACAUAUCGGAACGUAUCCAAUAAUGGGGGAUAACUAAGCGAAAGCUUGGCUAAUACCGCAUACGCCCUAAGGGGGAAAGCAGGGGAUCUUCGGACCUUGCGUUAAUGGAGCGGCUGAUAUCUGAUUAGCUAGUUGGUGGGGUAAAGGCCCACCAAGGCGACGAUCAGUAGCUGGUCUGAGAGGACGACCAGCCACACUGGAACUGAGACACGGUCCAGACUCCUACGGGAGGCAGCAGUGGGGAAUUUUGGACAAUGGGCGCAAGCCUGAUCCAGCCAUUCCGCGUGAGUGAAGAAGGCC